ensembl:lncRNA
CUAAGACUCCUAUUUUUAUUCAUUCUCCCAGGAACCCUUUAGGAGUAGACAUCCACCUUGCAAGGAAAAUUCGAUGCCCAUCAAAACCUCACCAUCUGAAUGGCACAGCCAGAAUGGCAAUUCUGCCAUUUUCUUUUCAAAUCUUUUUUCUUUUCCUAAUUCACACUUUCAUACUCACAGCUCAUACCCUUGAUAUCAGAUAUCCACCCCAGACCCUUACAACUGGGGUAGGCUUCCAGCAGGCAAGAGACAGCUCCUCAAGCCCAGAACCUCGAGAAGAAUAUGAAUACAGGACUAUAUACAAAGUGAGUGCAGUGUCCAGGGGCUAAACGAAGCUGCCGACGAAAAUUUGGCAUCUGCCACCUGCUUCGACAAGGAGGAUGUCGGCAGCCACUGCGUCUGCUGAGCUUCAGCUCCCCUGAAAGGAGCUCAGGAGGGAGAUCAGGAGCGAGGCCCUCUGUGCUCUGGAAAAGCUGGCAGAAUAGGCCUUCAGACAGUUUGGCAUCUUCAGGAGAAGAUGGAUGAGGCCAAUUCUUGCAUUUCCUCGUAUCUAGAAAAGCACUAAAAUCAUUCACGGCAUCUGUUCUUGGUGACGAGUAGCAGCCUGCACAAGAUUAUUAGCAGCAACCACUGCAAAAUGUGUGUCUGACUGCACGUGUCCCCCCUUCGCAAUAUCUCGUGGACACACGGCCCGCCUUCGGAGCAGCUCCGCAGAGCUCUCAGAGAGACUGUCUUCCAGGCCACACUCCUCAUUUUGCCCCACGUAAGACCUAACUCCCCUUCUUCAAGUUGUGCCCCCUUUUUUUCAGUUGACACCACCCAUCACUUUUUCCAGGACCAAAGUUAAUGGGAGGCUGACAGGUUCCACGACCAUGUGGCAGGGGAGGGGCCGGUGAAGUAAGGUGGGUACCCUCCUCUCCUGCCCUCCAGGCUCCUGCUGGUGCCUCCCAUUAGGGAAGCCCACCGAUGCACCCUGCCUCCUGGGCCCAGUGCAGGGUGGGGACAGGUGAAAGAGUGCACCUGGGGAAGCAUGCGGAAGGCAUGCCACCGAGGCUGCCCCUCAUAAACAGGGCAAGGUCAAAGACGGUGGCGGCUGCAGGGCCACCCAGCACAACCUCUCUCUCUGCUCCUGCAGAAAUCACUCCCUUCCCGUAGCCUAGAGAUAACGGUCAAGAGUGCCCUCUUUUCGGGGAGCGUUAGCUAACAAAAAUACAGGAGGCCAGUUAAAUCUGAACCUUUUCUUUUUUUUCUUUUUUGGCCACUCUGUGGCAUAUGGAGUUCCCGGGCCAGGGGUCAGAUCCAAGCUACAGUUGUGACCGACGCCUCAGCUGCAGCUAGAGCAAUGCUGGGUCCUUUAACCCACUGUGCUGUCCAGGGGAUCAAACCUGCAUCCUGGCACUGCAGAUAUGCCACCUAUUGCCACCACAGAAGAAACUCCUAAAUCUGAACUUCUGAUAAACAACGGGCAAUUUUUAGUCUAAGUAUAUCCCAUGCAAUAGUUGGGAUACACUUAAGCUAACAUCUACUGUUUAUCAGAAGUUCAAAUUUAACUUGGUGUCCUAUAUUUAACCUGACAAAAUUUUCCAAUUGUACAAUAUUAUUGCUUCUGUCCCAGAGGAUAAAGGCAAACAAUGUUUCCACAAGUAUGUUAUUAUAUUUCGUAUUAAUCCUGGGCUCAUAAUUUUACUUCUCCUUUCCAAUUUAAUUAUUGAGUCUUCCCUUUUUUAAAAAAAAUAUGCUAUUUUUAUUCAUUGUAAUAUAUAAAGACUCUCUCCAUUGAGAAUGUACUGAUUCUACUUUCAUUGAGGUCAUUCCUGAAUUGCCUCUUUUCUCAGGAGAAUACAUUUUUUAGAAGGGCAUUAAGCUUGGUGUUCUGUUGCAAGGCAAUGAAAAACAUAUGAAUCUUUUUUUCUUUUGGCUUUUUAGGGCCACACCCAUGGCAUACGGAGGGUCCCAGGCUAGGGAUCCAACUGGAGCUAGAGCUGCUGGCCUCCACCACAGCCACAGCCAUGCCAGAUCCGAGCCUCGUCUGCGACCUACACCACAGCUCAAGGCAACACUGGAUCCUUAACCCACCGAGUGAGGCCAGGGAUCAAACCUGCAUCCUCGUGGAUACUAGCCGGGUUUAUUUCCACUGAGCCACAGUGGGAACUUCCCAAGAAAGACAUGAACCUACAGAAACUAGACCUUUUCCUUCUUUCUAAUCUUUUUAACCAUUGCUAAAAUCUAAUCGGGUUGGAGCCGGGUGGCCUCAUCAUCAAAGCCUAGUAUCUAACUGUACUGACCAGUGACCAGACCACCUGUUUUGUUGUUGUUCACUUGAUUCCGCCCUUUAACACAUCAUUUUACCCCUUUUGUGUCAUGUUGAUGAUGUGGCUGGUUCCUCAACAGCACAAACCCACCGUAGUCUCUGGAAGAUGACUGGUCACCCCGCCUACAUUGAAAAAUGUACUUGACACCGGCUGACCCCUCUAGCUAUAGGCCAUGACACCGCUGCAGCCUUAGCGUCCAGUUACUCCUGUUUUCCCAGAAAAUGCUUCCGUGAACUGAUGCCUCAAGAAUCUUGUCCUCCGUGUCCCAUUCUCCUGGCUUAAGAUCCACAUGCAUUACACUGGCUCUGAGCAAAAGGCGCAUCAUCAGCCCUCCUUGUGUGCCAACACUGUCCUUGGGUUUUAUUUAGAAAAGCAACAGUAGUAACUCCUCACACCCCUACAGACGUCUUGACCUUGUAACAAAUAUUAGACAUGUAUUANNNNNNNNNNNNNNNNNNNNNNNNNNNNNNNNNNNNNNNNNNNNNNNNNNNNNNNNNNNNNNNNNCCCCGAUUUCCCCGAGUAGGGAGCUCGCCAGGUUGAGAGGUAAAGGCCAAGCGAUAAGCAGAGCCAGUGGCGACGCUCCGCCCUCAAGGAGCUCUCCCCUCUCGGCAGUCGUGCGCUGGGCAGAAUGACUCUGCUCUUAAGUGACUCGGUCACAAGUGACUUCGGGCAGGGAGGGAGGAGAGGCAGUGGCCUACCAUUACAGAAUCUAACUUGAGGCAUUUUUCCUGACUAUCAGCAGUUCUUAUGCACAAAAUAAAAGGGCCCCUUAAGCAAUGGGCCACGAUCAAAGCACCUUAGUGGGGAGCGGGCCAGCAGACACAUAUACCAUAUGACAUGACUUUUUCACACAAUCCAGUGUAACAGUUCCAAUGAGAGGCGUUUUAAGUUUACCUUAACUCCUUCUGGAAGGGUACAUGAGCACAUCAACAGAGGCAAAGCUGUAUGGGGCACAUCUACAAACAGCCCUCCUUGGAGCCCAGGGUUUCAGGGCUGGAAGGGACCAUAGGCAACACAGCCUCGCCAAUCUCAAACAGAAGUCCCAGUAAUUAGGAUCCUUGAAGAUGUGUCCAGGAAUAUGAAUCCAAGCUAUAAGCACAUUCAUAACACUCAUGCUUCAAUGUCACAUAAUAAAAAGCAACUUCAAAUAUUAUUUAAUACUGAACCAAACCAUACAAUGUGACAAAGAAUAAAAAUCUACAUGAAUUUUCAAGACUUAAUACAGACUUCACAGAUGGUUUAAGCUAAUAGCAGGCUGCUCUGGGCAAAUUCCAAACCCUCUGGGAUUUUAUGUUAUGUUGCCUUAGGGGUAGGCAAAUGGAAAGAUUUCAGAAGAACUAAACCUUGUCAAACAGAAGCCGAAUAAAACUUGAGAUCCAGACAAGCAACCUGAUGAAUAAAGAGGUUAGAGUUCACGAGUGCACAAGAUGUCAAGACUCUCCUGCUUUUCACAGGAUGCCACGUCUAGUGUCUGCACUGGCUGAGCACAUGCGGGUUGAAUUCGGCUGGAGCACGCUGAAGGACUGAUGCUAGUCUGCGAGAAAUGCCCUACAAAUGCACUGCAAACUAAGUGGCGUAAACAGCAGUUUUAGCGGAUGCAAGUCAGAGACCGAGGCGUCAGAAAGGCCAUGCUCCCUCUGAAGGCUUUAGGACAGGACCUGUGCCAGGCUUUUCUCCUAAGUUCUGGCAGUUCCUUGGCUGGUAGCAGCAUAACUGCAGUUGAGAUACUGCAUUCUCUGUGUGCGUGUGUGUGUACCCCAAUUUCCCCUUUUUCAUGUAUCCUUUUUAUUUCCCCGUCACUCUGGAUUAGGUCCCACCACACCCCAGGAUGAUCUCAUCUUCAUAUAACCAAUUACAUUUGCAAUAAUCCUACUUCCCAGAAAGUUCACAUUCUGAGGUCCUGGGGCUUAGGACUUCACAUUUGAGUAGGUGAGCAGACAUAAGUUGACCCUUCACGCAGGUCGAGCCCAUUUUGGCCCAGACUCAAUGAACCAGGUGGUCCUGAGAAACGGUAGCCAGGCUCAAAGUCUCCCUGGCCCACCAAUCAGGCUUCCUUAAGUUCGAAACGAACAACUGACCUUGUUUUCAAAAUUCACUGCAACCGCACAGUCUAAGAUUUUCAACUUGACAUCUUGCCGGUACCAUCCUACAGAGUCUGUAAUUGGUGAAUUUUGUUGGUCUUAGGUUAAGAUGUACAGGAAAAAAGGCAACAGGAGUUUGAGCUAGCUGCUCGUAAGAGAACAGAAAUCCAUUUGCUUGCACUGCAUUAUCAAAGGAGGCUUUUUUGAGAUGCCUGAGUAUUCAUGAAGUGAUAAGCAAGAGGCAGAAAAAUCUACAUUACUCUUGAGUUAACCCCUUUUUUAUUUUCGGGUCAAGCCUUAGAUUUAGUGUCACUGACGGUGUAUUCCUGCAUUUUUAUUGACAAAGUCGGGGAAUUCACAUAACUGAAGACUCAAGACCUGGUCUGGAAGAAGCAUUUAGGGAUGGGGCUGUGCUCUGGCCUCAGUGAUAUUUCAGCCUCUGCCCAUGUGCACGUGUGCUGAUGGCACUGGCCUCCCCAUGGCCUGCCUCCGGCACCAGAGUCAUGAGAGGUACCUAGCAAUGGCAACUUUUGAAUCUUUCAUGAAAUGAUUCUCCUUUUAGUGAAAGUAGAGGUUUACAACAAUGAGCAGAAUGUGAAAAAUGCUACUUCUGCAUCUGAGCACAUUUGCUCACUCAAUAAACAUGCCACCGAGAAAUAAGGGUUGUAAUUUCAAAGCAGUUUCGUAUACCCAUCAGACGGCAGCUCCGUUAUGUUUCUGUAGUUCCAGCAAAUGAGACUUUGAAAAAUCAUCUCUUAAAAUACAUUUUCAUGUCACACUGGAGUAUUUAAAUUAACAAAGACUCGACAGUGACCAUCCCUCACAGUAAAAGCGAUCCUUUGAUUCAGCAAAACUGCAAUAUUCAUAGGUACCCAGGAUAAUCUCCUUCUGUCAAGCGCAGCUGACGAGCAAGCUCACUCGCUCUUGCCAUGCCACGUAAAACAGUCACAGGCCCUGGGGACCAGGAUAGGACCUCUGGCCGACACGACACUGUCUAGCACAUAUGCUAAUAGACAUGCGAUAAACAACUCGCUUUAUAGCACCAGGUAUUUUGUUUUACACACGGAGAAGCACUGUCUCGAGGAGGGUUCCACUAACCUCAUCAGAUUGCCCAAGAGCUCCAUGGCACUCAACAGGUUAACAGCCCCUGAUUCCAGACGGUGAGGCUGCCAACUACUUCGGCUACUACUACUAACUACUGUUACUAACAGUUACUAACUGUUACUGUCACUAACUACUGCCACCGAGCUUCCUUGAAUGAAGCCUCAAGCACAGAGGCACUGGCAUCUCUUUAAUUCUUUAUUUCCCAACCACCUUCCCCAACAAGAGGACCUACGAGGUUAUUUUUACAGAUGUGGAAACUACGGCCUGGAGAGUGACGUGCCAAAGGUCAGAGAUGAAUCGCAGAGCUGAAUGCGAAGAGCACCCCACUGCCCCCUGACCUGGGAGGACCCCCCUGCUUCAGGGCAUUUUACACCGUAAUGUGUCCACCUACUGCCUGAUGGGCUCAGACUAAGAAAAAAUUAGUCUUACUGUGUUCACAAUGUUUUUCCCUCUUAUGAAUCUAAUUUGUCUCAUCAGAGUCCAAAACAUUUUUGAAAAAUAAACUUCAGUGACCUCUGUCGCCAGCUUCCUCGCAUCCUCCAGGACCUCACUAAUGGGCAUUUAUGGCAAAGCGGCAUGCUUCUCUUGCUGCAGCCAGGGUAAGCCAGCCAGCAGGUGCCAACACUCUCCAGUAGCUGUCGGAUACCGACUACGAAGCACACCUGCUGCUUUUUCCGUCUGUUACCUUCCCCAGGAAGCUACAGGAACUCACUGAAACGAAAGCACACUGAAGCGCUGUACUCUGAAUCUUUAGGUCUCUUUAAUUGAACUGUUAAUCAGGAUUCUAUUGCCUCCAGCUGUUUCGGGUCACAAAGACAGAUCUAGUUCUGCUUCUU